rnacentral:rRNA from 1 species
AUACGUAGGGUGCGAGCGUUGUCCGGAAUUACUGGGCGUAAAGAGCUCGUAGGUGGUUUGUCGCGUCGUCUGUGAAAUUCCGGGGCUUAACUCCGGGCGUGCAGGCGAUACGGGCAUAACUUGAGUACUGUAGGGGAGACUGGAAUUCCUGGUGUAGCGGUGAAAUGCGCAGAUAUCAGGAGGAACACCGGUGGCGAAGGCGGGUCUCUGGGCAGUAACUGACGCUGAGGAGCGAAAGCAUGGGUAGC